UGCAGAAGUGAGAGUUUUGGGCUAGAUAUUAGAAAAAGGGUUUUUCACCCAGGGGGUGGUUGGGCAAUGGAACAGUCCUCCCAGG